rnacentral:tRNA from 1 species
GCUCGAAUGGCGAAAUUGGCAGACGCGCCAGACUUAGGAUCUGGUUCCGAAAGGAGUGUGGGUUCAAGUCCCUCUUCGAGCACCA